rnacentral:rRNA from 1 species
AUUGAACGCUGGCGGCAUGCCUAACACAUGCAAGUCGAACGAGUGGCGGACGGGUGAGUAAUGUCUGGGAAACUGCCUGAUGGAGGGGGAUAACUACCGGAAACGGUAGCUAAUACCGCAUACCAUCGGAUGUGCCCAGAUGGUCUUAGCUAGUAGGUGGGGUAACGGCUCACCUAGGCGACCAUCCCUAGCUGGUCUGAGAGGCUGACCAGCCACACUGUAACUGAGACACGGUCCAGACUCCUACGGGAGGCAGCAGUGGGGAAUAUUGCACAAUGGGCGCAAGCCUGAUGCAGCCAUGCCGCGUGUAUGAAGAAGGCCUUCGGGUUGUAAAGUACUUUCAGCGAGGAGGCGUUACGCGCAGAAGAAGCACCGGCUAACUCCGUGCCAGCAGCCGCGGUAAUUC